UACGUAGGGUGCAAGCGUUGUCCGGAAUUAUUGGGCGUAAAGAGCUCGUAGGCGGUCUGUCGCGUCGGCUGUGAAAACCCGAGGCUCAACCUCGGGCCUGCAGUCGAUACGGGCAAACUAGAGUACUGCAGGGGAGACUGGAAUUCCUGGUGUAGCAGUGAAAUGCGUAGAUAUCAGGAGGAAUACCGAUGGCGAAGGCAGGUCUCUGGGCUGACACUGACGCUCAUGCACGAAAGCGUGGGGAGCAAACAGG
rnacentral:rRNA from 1 species